ACCAAUCAGCAGAGGGAGGGGGGCCAUGGGGGAACCUGCAAGAUGAAAGGAGCAACAGUGCACCCCAUUUCUGCCAUGAAAUUGGUAGGUCCCUAAAAAUAGGAUAAGUGCAGGGAUAAACAGGAGACAAC